rnacentral:rRNA from 1 species
GAUGAACGCUGGCGGCGUGCCUAAUACAUGCAAGUCGAGCGAACAGACGAGGAGCUUGCUCCUCUGACGUUAGCGGCGGACGGGUGAGUAACACGUGGAUAACCUACCUAUAAGACUGGGAUAACUUCGGGAAACCGGAGCUAAUACCGGAUAAUAUAUUGAACCGCAUGGUUCAAUAGUGAAAGACGGCUUUGCUGUCACUUAUAGAUGGAUCCGCGCCGCAUUAGCUAGUUGGUAAGGUAACGGCUUACCAAGGCAACGGUGCGUAGCCGACCUGAGAGGGUGAUCGGCCACACUGGAACUGAGACACGGUCCAGACUCCUACGGGAGGCAGCAGUAGGGAAUCUUCCGCAAUGGGCGAAAGCCUGACGGAGCCACGCCGCGUGAGUGAUGAAGGUCUUCGGAUCGUAAAACUCUGUUAUUAGGGAAGAACAAAUGUGUAAGUAACUAUGCACGUCUUGACGGUACCUAAUCAGAAAGCCACGGCUAACUACGUG